CAGUCGCCGCGGUAAGACGAACCGUGCGAACGUUAUUCGGAAUCACUGGGCUUAAAGCGCGUGUAGGCGGGCCGCCACGUCGGCUGCUGAAAUCCCCCGGCUCAACCGGGGAACGGGCACCGAUACGAGCGGCCUCGAGGGGGGUAGGGGGGUCUGGAACUUCCGGUGGAGCGGUGAAAUGCGUUGAGAUCGGAAGGAACGCCCGUGGCGAAAGCGAGGCCCUGGACCCUUUCUGACGCUGAGACGCGAAAGCCAGGGGAGCGAACGGGAUUAGAUACCCGCGUAGUCCCUGUCUCUUAUU
rnacentral:rRNA from 1 species